GCCCCCAUAGCUCAAAGGAUAGAGCAUCUCCCUUCUAAGGAGGAGAUGGCAGUUCGACUCUGCCUGGGGGUA
rnacentral:tRNA from 1 species